UGCAAGUCGUACGAGAACACCCUAGCUUGCUAGGGUAAGUAAAGUGGCGCACGGGUGAGUAACGCGUGGGUAAUCUACCUUCGAAUUGGGGAUAACGUUGCGAAAGCGACGCUAAUACCGAAUAACAUCCAUUAAUCUUCGGGUUUUUGGAUCAAGGGUGGCCUCUACAUGUAAGCUACUGUUUGAAGAUGAGCCCGCGUACCAUUAGCUUGUUGGUGGGGUAAUGGCCUACCAAGGCAGCGAUGGUUAGCUGGUCUGAGAGGAUGAUCAGCCACACUGGAACUGACACACGGUCCAGACUCCUACGGGAGGCAGCAGUGAGGAAUUUUGCGCAAUGGGGGAAACCCUGACGCAGCAACGCCGCGUGAGUGAUGAAGGCUUUCGGGUCGUAAAGCUCUGUCAAGUGGGAAGAACCUGCAGUAUGCUAAUAUCAUAUUCACUGACGGUACCACUGAAGGAAGCACCGGCUAACUCCGUG
rnacentral:rRNA from 1 species